GAGAGAGACAGAGAGAGACAGAGCAAAAAAAAGAGCAUUAACCCCAGGCCGGCACAUAAAAGGGUAAGAAAACGCGAGCAGGUGGUAAAAUUGUUUUCCCAGGUACGUAGAGCUUUUGUUUUUACAUUUUUUAACAUUUUCUUUUUUAACAGCUUCGACUUGAAGCCCGUCCGGAUGUCGGUUGCUACCAUCUACAGCUUUAGGGACUUUCCGGCUUGUACUUUUUUGAACUGGACCCCGCAUUGAUUCUCAACUGCCUCCUCAACCUGUUGGCUGUUACACAGAGAACCCCUGGCUGCAUUUCCUGGCUGUUCAAGUCCACUGCCUAAGAUCCACUAAGCGUAUGGCUUCUCACCCCCUGGCGCGCGCGUAGACCACCUAUGCCUUUGAAUGAUCUCCAUUACAAAGGUGGUCUCUGCGCCCUCCCUACUGACCCGGCCGGGCUGGGCUCCUGUGCCUGCUGUACUGAUAAUCAGUGUGCGACGUCAGCUGGCUCAGUUCAGCAGGAACAGAGGACUGGUCUCACUGCUCCAAACCAUGGGAGGAACACUAACACACACAACGCAUAGUAUUAUUGUUAUUAUUAUUAUUAUUAUUAUUAUUAUUAUUAUUAUAUGCACACACAUCCACACCAACACUGACACGUGAACAACUUCAGAACAAAUGUAUUUAUAUAUUUAACAUAAACACAUCCAUACAGUCAGACAGACGUGCCGUCACACAACUAUAUAUCCAGCAUGAAUCAACUGCCACACAAGUAAUCAAAUGUUAGGACUGAACACACGUAUAAUUGUACAUACUUUAUGCCUGAGAAAAUAGUUUUGUGUAUUUGAGUAAUGUAUAUAUUGACACUUGAACAAAAAUACAUAAUACUAUAAUUUGAUGUUUUAGGUUAUAUAUUAUACUGUAUAUGUGUUUUGUGAAAUAUGAGAUAUUUAUUAUAUUAUAUUACACAUAUCAUUCAAAUCAAGGUUGUUGUGAUAUUAUGAAUAUUGCCUUUCAUAAUAGCCCUGUAACUGUAUAAUAAAGCAUGAAGGACAGGAAAAAUACCACUAAACAAAUGAUGAUGAUGCAAAUAAAACAUCUGAAUAAAUC
ensembl:lncRNA